rnacentral:rRNA from 1 species
UACGUAGGGUGCAAGCGUUGUCCGGAAUUAUUGGGCGUAAAGAGCUCGUAGGCGGUCUGUCGCGUCGGCUGUGAAAACCCGGAGCUCAACUCCGGGCCUGCAGUCGAUACGGGCGGACUUGAGUACUGCAGGGGAGACUGGAAUUCCUGGUGUAGCGGUGAAAUGCGCAGAUAUCAGGAGGAACACCGGUGGCGAAGGCGGGUCUCUGGGCAGUAACUGACGCUGAGGAGCGAAAGCGUGGGGAGCGAACAGG